rnacentral:rRNA from 1 species
AAGAAAGCUUGCUUUCUUUGCUGGCGACCGGCGCACGGGUGAGUAACACGUAUCCAACCUGCCCUUUACUCGGGGAUAGCCUUUCGAAAGAAAGAUUAAUACCCGAUAGCAUAAUGAUUCCGCAUGGUUUCAUUAUUAAAGGAUUCCGGUAAAGGAUGGGGAUGCGUUCCAUUAGGUUGUUGGCGGGGUAACGGCCCACCAAGCCUUCGAUGGAUAGGGGUCCUGAGAGGAAGGUCCCCCACAUUGGAACUGAGACACGGUCCAAACUCCUACGGGAGGCGCAUG